rnacentral:rRNA from 1 species
CAGCAGUGGGGAAUAUUGCACAAUGGGCGCAAGCCUGAUGCAGCCAUGCCGCGUGUGUGAAGAAGGCCUUCGGGUUGUAAAGCACUUUCAGCGGGGAGGAAGGCGUUAAGGUUAAUAACCUUAGCGAUUGACGUUACCCGCAGAAGAAGCACCGGCUAACUCCGUGCCAGCAGCCGCGGUAAUACGGAGGGUGCAAGCGUUAAUCGGAAUUACUGGGCGUAAAGCGCACGCAGGCGGUCUGUCAAGUCGGAUGUGAAAUCCCCGGGCUCAACCUGGGAACUGCAUUCGAAACUGGCAGGCUAGAGUCUUGUAGAGGGGGGUAGAAUUCCAGGUGUAGCGGUGAAAUGCGUAGAGAUCUGGAGGAAUACCGGUGGCGAAGGCGGCCCCCUGGACAAAGACUGACGCUCAGGUGCGAAAGCGUGGGGAG